rnacentral:rRNA from 1 species
GACGAACGCUGGCGGCGUGCUUAACACAUGCAAGUCGAACGGAAAGGCCCUGCUUUUGUGGGGUGCUCGAGUGGCGAACGGGUGAGUAACACGUGAGUAACCUGCCCUUGACUUUGGGAUAACUUCAGGAAACUGGGGCUAAUACCGUAUAGGAUCUCCUGCUGCAUGGUGGGGGUUGGAAAGUUUCGGCUGUUGGGGAUGGACUCGCGGCUUAUCAGCUUGUUGGUGGGGUAGUGGCUUACCAAGGCUUUGACGGGUAGCCGGCCUGUGAGGGUGACCGGCCACAUUGGGACUGAGAUACGGCCCAGACUCCUACGGGAGGCAGCAGUGGGGAAUAUUGCACAAUGGGCGGAAGCCUGAUGCAGCAACGCCGCGUGCGGGAUGACGGCCUUCGGGUUGUAAACCGCUUUCGCCUGUGACGAAGCGUGAGUGACGGUAAUGGGUAAAGAAGCACCGGCUAACUACGUG